rnacentral:rRNA from 1 species
GCGAACGGGUGAGUAACGCGUGAGUAACCUGCCCUAGAGUGGGGGACAACAGUUGGAAACGACUGNUAAUACCGCAUAAGCCCACGGUGCCGCAUGACACUGAGGGAAAAGGAUUUAUUCGCUUUAGGAUGGACUCGCGUCCAAUUAGCUAGUUGGUGAGGUAACGGCCCACCAAGGCGACGAUUGGUAGCCGGACUGAGAGGUUGAACGGCCACAUUGGGACUGAGACACGGCCCAGACUCCUACGGGAGGCAGCAGUGGGGGAUAUUGCACAAUGGGGGAAACCCUGAUGCAGCGACGCCGCGUGGAGGAAGAAGGUUUUCGGAUUGUAAACUCCUGUCGUUAGGGACGAUAAUGACGGUACCUAACAAGAAAGCACCGGCUAACUACGUGCCAGCAGCCGCGGUAAAACGUAGGGUGCAAGCGUUGUCCGGAAUUACUGGGUGUAAAGGGAGCGCAGGCGGGAAGACAAGUUGGAAGUGAAAACCAUGGGCUCAACCCAUGAAUUGCUUUCAAAACUGUUUUUCUUGAGUAGUGCAGAGGUAGAUGGAAUUCCCCGGUGUAGCGGUGGAAUGCGUAGAUAUCGGGAGGAACACCCAGUGGCGAAGGCGGUCUACUGGGCAC